GGUANCACAGAGAGCUUGCUCUUGGGUGACGAGUGGCGGACGGGUGAGUAAUGUCUGGGGAUNUGCCCGAUAGAGGGGGAUAACCACUGGAAACGGUGGNUAAUACCGCAUAACGUCGCAAGACCAAAGAGGGGGACCUUCGGGCCUCUCACUAUCGGAUGAACCCAGAUGGGAUUAGCUAGUAGGCGGGGUAAUGGCCCACCUAGGCGACGAUCCCUAGCUGGUCUGAGAGGAUGACCAGCCACACUGGAACUGAGACACGGUCCAGACUCCUACGGGAGGCAGCAGUGGGGAAUAUUGCACAAUGGGCGCAAGCCUGAUGNAGCCAUGCCGCGUGUAUGAAGAAGGCNUUCGGGUUGUAAAGUNCUUUCAGCGGGGAGGAAGGCGA
rnacentral:rRNA from 1 species